rnacentral:rRNA from 1 species
UGUAGUUUGACUGGCUCGCGCCAGAAGGACGAAGGGGUUGCAAUAAAAUGGUGGCUGCGACUGUUUAAUAAAAACACAGCACUCUGCAAACACGAAAGUGGACGUAUAGGGUGUGACGCCUGCCCGGUGCCGGAAGAUUAAAUGAUGGGGUGCAAGCUCUUGAUUGAAGUCCCGGUAAACGGCGGCCGUAACUAUAACGGUCCUAAGGUAGCGAAAUUCCUUGUCGGGUAAGUUCCGACCUGCACGAAUGGCGUAACGAUGGCCACACUGUCUCCUCCCGAGACUCAGCGAAGUUGAAGUGUUUGUGAUGAUGCAAUCUCCCCGCGGCUAGACGGAAAGACCCCAUGAACCUUUACUGUAGCUUUGCAUUGGACUUUGAACCGAUCUGUGUAGGAUAGGUGGGAGGCUUUGAAACCGGGACGCUAGUUUCGGUGGAGCCGUCCUUGAAAUACCACCCUGGUUUGUUUGAGGUUCUAACCUUGGCCCGUGAAUCCGGGUCGGGGACAGUGCAUGGUAGGCAGUUUGACUGGGGCGGUCUCCUCCCAAAGUGUAACGGAGGAGUUCGAAGGUACGCUUGGUACGGUCGGACAUCGUACCUAAAGUGCAAUGGCAAAAGCGUGCUUAACUGCGAGACCGACAAGUCGAGCAGGUGCGAAAGCAGGACAUAGUGAUCCGGUGGUUCUGUAUGGAAGGGCCAUCGCUCAACGGAUAAAAGGUACUCUGGGGAUAACAGGCUGAUACCGCCCAAGAGUUCAUAUCGACGGCGGUGUUUGGCACCUCGAUGUCGGCUCAUCUCAUCCUGGGGCUGUAGCCGGUCCCAAGGGUAUGGCUGUUCGCCAUUUAAAGAGGUACGUGAGCUGGGUUUAAAACGUCGUGAGACAGUUUGGUCCCUAUCUGCCGUGGGCGUUGGAAUCUUGACGGGGGCUGCUCCUAGUACGAGAGGACCGGAGUGGACGUACCGCUGGUGUACCUGUUGUCUCGCCAGAGGCAUCGCAGGGUAGCUAUGUACGGAAGAGAUAACCGCUGAAAGCAUCUAAGCGGGAAACUCGCCUGAAGAUGAGGAUUCCCUGGAGACUUGAUCUCCCUGAAGGGUCGUUCGAGACCAGGACGUUGAUAGGCUGGGUGUGGAAGCGCAGUAAUGCGUUCAGCUAACCAGUACUAAUUGCCCGUGCGGCUUGAUCCU